rnacentral:sRNA from 1 species
UUGGGGCCAGGCGGCAACUAAAUGCCACGCUGAUCCCAGGAGAUAGACAACUGAGGUUUUUCACAGAAGUCUAUUUAGAAGCCUGCGACGGACUGGCCUGCCAGCGUCUCCACUUACCUCAGGCAAAGCACUGGUGGCUCCAUCAGAUCGGGUACCAGGACGUUAGGGAAUCUGGCGUAUUCGCUUUCGGCGGCAUUUCUGUAGUGCCAUAACGUUUUAGCACUCUGUUUUGUCUUUCUGAUUAGCAGGUUGGCAAAGGUCGAGUCCUCAGAAAACACAGUUACGAACUGGAUGAAACAUAUGAGUUUGGAGAUAUGCCAAGCAUGUUUGGGAUCACACAUCAGUUGGCGGAUAAAGAUCCUCACUGUAUUUAGUGGCAGACGCCUUCUGAAGACAGACACCUCGUCGGCUACAGAGACGACGCCUUGCCAGCCACCCUAGUCCCCGAUGGCUGGUUAUCGCACCGCGAGCAGUUCAAUUUCCUCUGGGUAUCUGUUUCCUUCUAUAAAACACUGGCAGGGUUGCUGUCAGACAGCCCGUCUAGUGGAGACUGCAGCCACCAGUAUGCUUUGCACGGGCCACUGAAGAGUCAUAAGAUGGUGACAACUUUGGGUCUUUAGUGACCUGGACUGGAUUCGACUCACUGACCUAGAGGUGAAAGGCUCUGUAUUUCAUUACUAAUCCCUUGAGCCAUCCAGCCCCCUGAAAAUGAUUCUUUGGUUUUUAUUACUGCAAAGACCAUUUAUAAAAUCAUGGACUGGAUUUAGGAAAGCAACCAUGAAAUAGCAAGGGACAACAAAUUGAUUGAAAUUUCUUAAAUGUUAUGUGAGCUGGAGACUCUCAGACUGGAGGAACGGGAAAAAGUUCUAUCUCCUUUCUUACUUCAGGGGUGCGACCUGCUCACUUAGACGUGGCGACUUCAAAUCCACUGACCAUGCCUCAGGGAACCGAUUCCUAAAUAAAGAAGACGGAAAAGCAAGCUACGAAACAGCCAAUAAUCUUUAUUUUGUACUUCCCCCAUCCUUCGUCUUCUCCAAAAAGCACUAAUGGGUAUUCUUUGUGCAUGUGAAAAUAUUGUAUAAAGUAUUUAGAAUGAUCUCUAGUGAAUGAAAAAGAAAAGAGACACAUAUCUCGACAUAGAUACUUUUUGGGGGGCAGGGGUGACGAAAACUUCUGGCUUCUAGAACAAGGAGGGGAGUGACUUCCACACUCUUCGCAGGUUGACUCCGUUACCACUGUUCUGCAAUUUAACAUCAAGGCAGAGAACCACAUUUCUGAAACCACAUUAUAUGUUUUAAAAUAGGAGUGACUAUAAUACUAAUGUCAAUUGAGUUGGCAGUAAAAAAAAAAUCACAUUUCUACUCAUAUAUUUGUAUUAGGUUCAAAUUCCGAGUUCUAACAUUCAAGAUCGCCUUCACACAUGCCCAGAUUGGGAUUAUUUCAAAAUCAAGUAAAGGUCCAUAGUUAUUUCAAAGCCACUAAAAUAUGCUAAUAAAGUUAAAUUUGAUGCUUUUUUUUACAUUAAAAAUAAAACAUUUGGUUUAUGUUUCAGAUAUCUAUAACAUAUAAUAAAUAGUGGGCAGUAUAGCAAUAUAAUAAAGUUUUGUGAUACCCUGAAAUUUGAUGAGUUUUCUUAAAAAAAUCCAUAAUAUACUUCAUUUCAACCUUAAAG